UAAUUUGACUCAACACGGGAAAUCUUACCGGGUCCGGACAUACCGAGGAUUGACAGACUGUUAACUGCAACACAUGCUGCUAAGUUUUAAACUUAAUAGCUCUUUCAUGAUUAUAUGAUAGGUGGUGCAUGGCCGUUCUUAGUUCGUGGAGUGAUCUGUCUGCUUAAUUGCGUUUCAAAAUCUAAACCUGAGCGACAAGGUGCUGCUAUCGAAACUGUCUUUGAGUGUGAACUAUAAGUCUUUUGACUUAUGACCAUCACUCUAGACGUUUAUGUUUUGGUGUUGGCCCUUGAUGCUCAUUUGAACGCAACGGACGUGAUUGCAACCCCUUGUUGAGAUUUAUCCGAUCUCUACGUUCACUGAACCACACUCUUUAGCGAGAGCAGUGGGGAUGUGGAUAAACUCGGGGGACUGCUGACUAUAAACUUUUCUCAAACCAGAGGAAGGUUGCGGCAAUAACAGGUCUGUGAUGCA
rnacentral:rRNA from 1 species